rnacentral:rRNA from 1 species
AUUGAACGCUGGCGGCAUGCCUUACACAUGCAAGUCGAACGGUAACAGGUCUUCGGAUGCUGACGAGUGGCGAACGGGUGAGUAAUACAUCGGAACGUGCCUAGUAGUGGGGGAUAACUACUCGAAAGAGUGGCUAAUACCGCAUGAGAUCUACGGAUGAAAGCAGGGGAUCGCAAGACCUUGUGCUACUAGAGCGGCCGAUGGCAGAUUAGGUAGUUGGUGGGAUAAAAGCUUACCAAGCCAACGAUCUGUAGCUGGUCUGAGAGGACGAUCAGCCACACUGGGACUGGGACACAGCCCAGACUCCGACGGGAGGCAGCAGUGGGGAAUUUUGGACAAUGGGCGAAAGCCUGAUCCAGCAAUGCCGCGUGCAGGAUGAAGGCCUUCGGGUUGUAAACUGCUUUUGUACGGAACGAAAAGCCCCGGGUUAAUACCCUGGGGUCGUGACGGUACCGUAAGAAUAAGCACCGGCUAACUACGUGCCAGCCGCCGCCGUAA